rnacentral:tRNA from 1 species
GCGUCCGUAGUCUAGUGGUAGGAUCAAACCCUUCCAAGGUUUUGACUCGGGUUCGAAUCCCGACGGACGCA